CACUGCACAGAGACGGGCAAGCACUCAGAAGCAUUUCGUUUGCCUUGAUCCUGGAGGCGCGCGGCCGUCUUCCGCUGCCGAGGAUUUGACGCGAACUCCUGGCAGAUCAGAAAUGUUCAGGCGAACGGCGGUUAUAUUUGUCCGUGGACCCAAUUAAGACUUCGUUGACGGGCAAAUAUGGAACGCUGCAACAAGGACUGGUGUGGAUAGCGUGCUGCGCUGGUCUCGCCAACUGAAAAGAAUUCUGGUGUGCUGUAAAUGCCGACUGCACAAUAUGUGACUGGCCCGCGGCCGCUUUGAAGGUAAUAUUGUGUUCUCAUUAUUCUAUUUAUUGUACCAUUUGUUUUGCAGUGACAUACGAGCCAACAAUGAAAACCUCGAUCCACCCUGUCUCCACAUAUUAUCUAGUUUGUGCGCUGUGGAGCUUGAAGCACUUCUCAGAAUUUCAGCACACUCGCAUUUAUUUCUUUCCCGACAGAAGAACAAUGCAAGUCUCACAUCUCGAUGAGGGUGUCGAUUUACCGUCUCAUAUCUCGACGGUAAAACGUCGCAUCUGCGUACGUGUUCAGGGCCAAGAGCACGAGAACUGGCCGAAAGAAGGGAGCCGAUCCAACAAGAAUGC